rnacentral:rRNA from 1 species
CGGAGGAAAGAAACCAACAGGGAUUGCCCUAGUAACGGCGAGUGAAGCGGCAACAGCUCAAAUUUGAAAUCUGGCCCUUGGGUCCGAAUUGUAAUUUGUAGAGGAUGAUUUUGGUGCGGUACCUUCCGAGUUCCUUGGAACAGGACGCCUUAGAGGGUGAGAGCCCCGUACGGUUGGAUGCCUAGCCUCUGUAAAUCUCCUUCGACGAGUCGAGUAGUUUGGGAAUGCUGCUCUAAAUGGGAGGUAAAUUUCUUCUAAAGCUAAAUACUGGCCAGAGACCGAUAGCGCACAAGUAGAGUGAUCGAAAGAUGAAAAGCACUUUGAAAAGAGGGUUAAAUAGCACGUGAAAUUGUUGAAAGGGAAGGAUUUUUGACCAGACUUUUUCUGGGCAGAUCAUCCGGUGUUCUCACCGGUGCACUUUGCCCAGUUUAGGCCAGCAUCGAUUUCCGGAGGGGGAUAAAAGCUUUAGGAAUGUGGCUCCCUCGGGAGUGUUAUAGCCCAUUGCAUAAUACCCUUCUGGGGAUCGAGGUUCGCGCUUCUGCAAGGAUGCUGGCGUAAUGGUUAACAAUCACCCGUCUUGAAACACGGACCAAGGAGUCGAACAUUUGUGCGAGUGUUUGGGUGUUAAACCCUCACGCGUAAUGAAAGUGAACGGAGGUAAGAGCCCGUACGGGUGCAUUAUCGACCGAUCCUGAAGUUUUCGGAUGGAUUUGAGUAAGAGCAUAAAUGUUCGGACCCGAAAGAUGGUGAACUAUGCGUGGAUAGGGUGAAGCCAGAGGAAACUCUGGUGGAGGCUCGCAGCGGUUCUGACGUGCAAAUCGAUCGUCAAAUCUGCGCAUGGGGGCGAAAGACUAAUCGAACCUCUA